UCACUAUCCAGGUUUCAUGUUUUGAACAGUCUGUUCCACUCUGAAGCUUGCAAGUCUCUCCCAACUGGAAGUGUGGGAGUAUUUUCAGAUUAUUCUGUAUACUACUAUAAAUCAUUUUAAAAGUUGCAUGUCUCUUCCACAGAAAAUUAUUAAAAGGACGAAGCUAUUAAAAGAGCUAUUUUCUACAAGUGUUGAAAUCCAAUAGCAUUCAAUUAUCCACCAUUCACAACAUGGCUGAACAAGUAGUACAUUAUUAUUAAGGUUUCAUUUAUUUGCCCAGUUGUUUCUUGUCCGGUGUCAAAUUUCUUCUAAAGCUUCCUGCCAGCACUUCUUGUCCAUCAAGUCAUCGAUUCAGUGAUAUUUAUUGAGCACCUAUUGAAUGCGAAGCACUGCCCUAAACACUAAACAAAGUACAACUCGGGAGAGCCCUCAAGUAUCAAUAUCUAAAAGAAUUUUUAAUUCAUCUCAAGGGAGAGAAGAAUGCAGGGGAACAGGAGCUGCCAGUGUGGAUUCUUCAAAGAGCUAGAAUUUGAAA